rnacentral:rRNA from 1 species
AACGAACGCUGGCGGCAGGCUUAACACAUGCAAGUCGAGCGCGUAGCAAUACGAGCGGCAGACGGGUGAGUAACGCGUGGGAAUCUACCCAUCACUACGGAACAACUCCGGGAAACUGGAGCUAAUACCGUAUACGUCCUUCGGAAGAAAGAUUUAUCGGUGAUGGAUGAGCCCGCGUUGGAUUAGCUAGUUGGUGGGGUAAUGGCCUACCAAGGCGACGAUCCAUAGCUGGUCUGAGAGGAUGAUCAGCCACAUUGGGACUGAGACACGGCCCAAACUCCUACGGGAGGCAGCAGUGGGGAAUAUUGGACAAUGGGCGCAAGCCUGAUCCAGCCAUGCCGCGUGAGUGAUGAAGGCCCUAGGGUUGUAAAGCUCUUUCACCGGUGAAGAUAAUGACGGUAACCGGAGAAGAAGCCCCGGCUAACUUCGUGCCAGCCGCCGCGGUAAGAC